rnacentral:rRNA from 1 species
CUCCACUGCUAUCGGGAUAGGACUAAGACAUGCUAGUCGAGCGCCUCCCAGCCACGACAGAGGCGCGGCGUACAGCUCAGUAACACGUGGCUAACCUGCCCUCGGGACGGGAAUACCCCCGGGAAACUGGGGCUAAUCCUCGAUAGGUGAAGAACUCUGGAAUGAGUCUCCGCCCAAGAGACGCUUAAAUCAUGCUUUUAGGCGCCGCCCAAGGAUGGGGCCGCGGCCGAUCAGGUUGUUGGUGAGGCAACGGCUCACCAAGCCUUUUACCGGUGCGGGCCGUGAGAGCGGGAGCCCGGAGAUGGGCACUGAGACAAGGGCCCAGGCCCUACGGGGCGCAGCAGUCGCGAAAACUCCGCAAUGCGCGAAAGCGUGACGGGGCUACCCCGAGUGCCGUCCGCUGAGGAUGGCUUUUCCCCGGUGUAAUGAGCCGGGGGAAUAAGGAGAGGGCAAGACUGGUGUCAGCCGCCGCGGUAAUACCAGCUCUCCGAGUGGUAGGGAUGAUUAUUGGGCUUAAAGCGUCCGUAGCCGGCUUAGCAAGUCUCCUGUUAAAUUCAGCGACCUAAUCGUUGAGCCGCGGGAGAUACUACUAGGCUAGGAGGCGGGAGAGGCCGACGGUAUUCUCGGGGUAGGGGUGAAAUCCUAUAAUCCCGGGAGGACCACCAGUGGCGAAGGCUGUCGGCUAGAACGCGCUCGACGGUGAGGGACGAAAGCUGGGGGAGCGAACCGGAUUAGAUACCCGGGUAGUCCCAGCCGUAAACGAUGCGGGCUAGGUGUUGGGGUGGCUACGAGCCACUCCAGUGCCGCAGGGAAGCCAUUAAGCCCGCCGCCUGGGGAGUACGGCCGCAAGGCUGAAACUUAAAGGAAUUGGCGGGGGAGCACCACAAGGCGUGAAGCUUGCGGUUUAAUUGGAUUCAACGCCGG